rnacentral:rRNA from 1 species
GAGUUUGAUCCUGGCUCAGAUUGAACGCUGGCGGCAGGCCUAACACAUGCAAGUCGAGCGGUAGAGAGAAGCUUGCUUCUCUUGAGAGCGGCGGACGGGUGAGUAAUGCCUAGGAAUCUGCCUGGUAGUGGGGGAUAACGCUCGGAAACGGACGCUAAUACCGCAUACGUCCUACGGGAGAAAGCAGGGGACCUUCGGGCCUUGCGCUAUCAGAUGAGCCUAGGUCGGAUUAGCUAGUUGGUGAGGUAAUGGCUCACCAAGGCGACGAUCCGUAACUGGUCUGAGAGGAUGAUCAGUCACACUGGAACUGAGACACGGUCCAGACUCCUACGGGAGGCAGCAGUGGGGGAAUAUUGGACAAUGGGCGAAAGCCUGAUCCAGCCAUGCCGCGUGUGUGAAGAAGGUCUUCGGAUUGUAAAGCACUUUAAGUUGGGAGGAAGGGCAGUAAAUUAAUACUUUGCUGUUUUGACGUUACCGACAGAAUAAGCACCGGCUAACUCUGUGCCAGCCGCC